rnacentral:rRNA from 2 species
ACCUAUCAUGCAGUCGAGCGAACUGAUUAGAAGCUUGCUUCUAUGACGUUAGCGGCGGACGGGUGAGUAACACGUGGGCAACCUGCCUGUAAGACUGGGAUAACUUCGGGAAACCGAAGCUAAUACCGGAUAGGAUCUUCUCCUUCAUGGGAGAUGAUUGAAAGAUGGUUUCGGCUAUCACUUACAGAUGGGCCCGCGGUGCAUUAGCUAGUUGGUGAGGUAACGGCUCACCAAGGCAACGAUGCAUAGCCGACCUGAGAGGGUGAUCGGCCACACUGGGACUGAGACACGGCCCAGACUCCUACGGGAGGCAGCAGUAGGGAAUCUUCCGCAAUGGACGAAAGUCUGACGGAGCAACGCCGCGUGAGUGAUGAAGGCUUUCGGGUCGUAAAACUCUGUUGUUAGGGAAGAACAAGUACGAGAGUAACUGCUCGUACCUUGACGGUACCUAACCAGAAAGCCACGGCUAACUACGUGCCAGCAGCCGCGGUAAUACGUAGGUGGCAAGCGUUAUCCGGAAUUAUUGGGCGUAAAGCGCGCGCAGGCGGUUUCUUAAGUCUGAUGUGAAAGCCCACGGCUCAACCGUGGAGGGUCAUUGGAAACUGGGGAACUUGAGUGCAGAAGAGAAAAGCGGAAUUCCACGUGUAGCGGUGAAAUGCGUAGAGAUGUGGAGGAACACCAGUGGCGAAGGCGGCUUUUUGGUCUGUAACUGACGCUGAGGCGCGAAAGCGUGGGGAGCAAACAGGAUUAGAUACCCUGGUAGUCCACGCCGUAAACGAUGAGUGCUAAGUGUUAGAGGGUUUCCGCCCUUUAGUGCUGCAGCUAACGCAUUAAGCACUCCGCCUGGGGAGUACGGUCGCAAGACUGAAACUCAAAGGAAUUGACGGGGGCCCGCACAAGCGGUGGAGCAUGUGGGUUUAAUUCGAAGCAACGCGAAGAACCUUACCAGGUCUUGACAUCCUCUGACAACUCUAGAGAUAGAGCGUUCCCCUUCGGGGACAGAGUGACAGUGUGCAUGAUUGUCGUCAGCUCGUGUCGUGAGAUGUGGUUAAGUCCCGCAACG